CGGCUUAGGAGGACUUCUCGUUGCUACCAGCCCUCCUGUCCACUCUCAGUGUGUCCACCAGAGGGUACAAUUAUCACGGAAAAUGUUGCCUCCAAUCAAUAGGGUGUUUUGAUGGAGUCAACUGAUCUUUGCAGAAAAAUCUAUUCAGUCACACACACACACACGCACACACCUGCUAAUACACACACGGCACCAGUCCUCUGUCAAAACAGCUUAGGUGAUUUUUCUUGAUGCAAAGCUCUGAUUCUGAAUAUAAAAACAAAGAGAGAGAGAGAGAGAACAUAUCCCUCAAGACUCCAGGAAAAAAACACAAAUAGUACCACUUAGAAAUCAUAGACCAUUCUCGUUCGGAAGCUGAUACCAUGUGUGAAAAUCCUACCCAGUGGACCGCAAACUCAACUGUUGUUUACACGUGUAUUAGAAUCAAUGGAAUGGUUCGUUUUCCACACAUUUCAGGAUUUGUCUUUUCGUUUAAAGUUUCCGUUGAGAACAUCCUUUCUGCCAGAAAUCCUAUGCAGUGCAUCUGUGGCUUUUGACAAGGCCAAGGAGCUCGAGAAGUUCGGGAGGUACACGAAAUGGUGAUCGCGAGUCAGUAUUCAGUUGCAGACGUGUAAUAAAUCGCUGAAGAGGAAGCACGGGAAAAACAAGGCAAAAGCGAGCGUCAGAUUUCCCGGCCUGUGCGGCUCACACUGGCAUGUAAGUGCAGGGGCAGAAGAGGGACAGGCUGACCCGGAUGUUACAAGACGCGGAAAAGCGUGGCUCCGUGUGAGCACGUGCCGGGCCACACCCACCUAGUGCCAAACACCGUCCAACCACAGGACUGACGUGCAAGUCCCAAACACCUGAGAACGAGUGGCCUGAGCCCCCCCCCCCACCCACCCACCCAAACGCGGACGUGAGAGUGCACCAUCAAGUUCCCCACUGUGUACAGACUUUCCCCACCCCCAGCCCCCAAUCCAAGGUCAAAGUGAUGUGUCUUUUAGAGGCUUUGGGACCCUUUUUAGUAAGUAUGAGCAGACAAUGAAUGCAGUGACCAUGCUACGAGAAAACCCUUCCCAACUGAUUGAGGGCUUAUCACUCGAUCCAGCUAAGAUUUGUAUUUGAAUCGUUUGUAAAGUCGCACUCUUACAACAAACUUCUGGGUUUUAAAUACCUCCGUACAGCAAGUAAACGUUCCCUGCUUUCUGUUCCCAGUGUCCUCGGUCAUGGUGCUUUUUGUUGCAUUAAAAGUGCCGGUCAAACUUUGAUAGUAUUUUUUUAUAGUUGGUGCAGAGUGGAAUAACUCAUGGAUUAUUUCAAUAUUUUUGUAAUAAAAAAAAUAUAGGGUAUACAUGUAGGCAUCAUCACUUUUUUUAUAGACCUGGAAUCGUUUAAAAUACUUUAAGCGUCAUCAUUCCUUGGGAUGUCCGAAACUGGUCCACAAAUUCCAUCAGCCUGCCUCAGCGGAUUGAGAACACCUGUCUCUUGGAAGAUCACCCUACUUGGCAAUGUCGGUGCCCCCAGGAACCUGGCCAGGGGUGCUAUCAGAAUAUCAGGUGACGAGAGAAUCAGCUUACCUAGAAAGGGCUUGUCAAGACUGGCCAAUGUUUCCCAGGAUGUGAAAGCUGUUAAUGAUUACUUUUAUCCAUCCAUUAUCACGAACCUGACCACAGUGGAAGAUGUCUUAAACUUCCUUCCCUGGUUUUAUAUUAACCCAAGUGAUAUAUUAAAUAUUAGUCCAAGUCACUAAAAAGAGAGAGAGAGAGACAGAGAGAGAGAGAGAGAGAGACAGAGAGAGAGGGGAAAAGUCCGUUUAACUUCAUGACUCCGUUAUCUGGACUGUCCAAUCCACUUAAAAUAGUCAAGUUCUAGAGCCACCACCUGUAAUGGGUGGGUCCUACAGAGACUGCUGUCCCCGUGACAUCCACAGGAAAUGGCAGAGCGCUCAACCUAGGACUUCUUUUGGUACAAAGCCCCAGAGCAAUGUUUUCAAAAUAGAUGACUUUUUAUCGCUUGAUGUGCUUCCCUAGUACUCCACGAUUUCAUCCUCCAAGCAAGAUUGCCACUAAAAAACAAUGAUCUUUUGUCCGGAUGUGAAAAGUUUACCCGGUCGCCAGCAAAGGUCCAGGAAGACGCUCUUCUUGUCAGUGACUGGUGAAAACAUUGCGCCCCCCAUCGUGGAAGGAAGACGUGAUUACAUUGGCAAAAACUCUUCAUCUUUGUGCAGGACCAUGAGUUAUUAGCUUCGUUAUUUCCAAGAAGACUUGUAAGUGAUGAUGUCUGGAAACUGAAUGGCUCAGCUGAACUGUACCUUUGAUUUCACGAGUAAAUAACAGAUCACAAUUAUAGCGUCAAUCGACACAAACUCAGCAGGCCCCACCACUCCUCAGUCAUGUAAGUCCUGAGUUAUUUCUCAAUUUGAUCCCUCCUUUACCAUGUUAAGAGUCAAAAUGAGUGCUUUGUGAAUCAACCGUGAUGUACUGUGCUUCGUCCUGGAGGUCAGAAUGCAGUGUUAGGCGGGCGUAAGAAAUCUGCAUCUUUCCGUGAUUUCCCAAAUACUGGAAAUACUCUGUUGUCCAACAUACUUGAAGAGUGUGAUGUUUUAGUUAGUCAAAAACUCUUGCUAAGUAAAUGACAUCUCCACCACAAAUUCCAAACUUUCUUCAGAUUACAAGAACCAAAACCCUCAACCUCCCAGGAAAAUCAUGACUUAAUCUUGUUUCCAUGAUCGAGAAGAGCACGGCAGGGCCCUCAGACUGUGCAGUGACAGGAACUGUUAUUAGAUGCUAGAUUCACAGAUAACAGAGAGUUUAAAGUAUGAGGAUUUAAAGAGACAUUGUCAAUGUACAAAGGAACAAAGUUGGAUUUUUGUGCUUGUGUUUUAGUUCUUCCUAAGAUUUCAUGUUCAAUCUGCCGUGAAACCCUCCACGGACAGUAACUGGAGAAUCCAAAAAAGAACAAUACUCUGGUUAGCGUACAGAUUGGAAGUGCUGGGUUCUUUCUCUGUGGGAUCAGACUUCCUGUGCCUGAGUCGACUCGGAUUCUUGGCCGGGGAAGGGGUCCUGCGCUUAGCAUUCCCUUUUUGCACUGGACCAUAAAAUUUUCUAAAAGAAAAUGUUAUACCUUUCUUUCACUUUCAAAUUAGCAUUUCGACAUGAAACCUCAUGUAAGAUUAAAGAACGUACGUAGCUUCACAUACUGAGACUUUUAAGUAUUCGCGUGGAAGAAAACAAAUUUUUUCCAUGUAAGUGACAGUUUGGUCCCCCAUAAUGACUCUUGUCUCUUCAAUUCCCUUAGCCGUUGACGCUGUCCUACUUAACUAUGUACUGGCUAGUUCAGUGACACUGACUUUGCAGACACUCAGUUACUACUCACAACGAAUGAAAGAAAUUCUCUUACUGACUUGGCAAGCACAUGCAAUUCGAGUAUUAGCACAAUAUAAAAUACAAAGAUAACCUGAAGAGUAAAGUAUAAUGAAGUGUAUAUGCUUAAUUCCUAAAUGCCCGAUUUAUUUUUGCUCUAUGAAUAAGUGACGUGAUAGCACUGACCAAAUAUUUUCCUUCUCCUUUUUGGCCCGAGCUGACAGUCCCUGUCUAUAAGACGUCAACAUCCUUGUGAUGUUGUGGGAAAUACCCAGGUGCAAUUUAAUGCUUUCAGCUUGAAUAAGCUGUCUCACUCCGGAAAGAUUUCAUCUUUUAAGCAGCUGAAUAGAAUAGUUUUGAAUCAUCUCAAAGUUCCUUUCUCCAAACCGAUUGAAUUGAGCGAAGAAAAACUCUUGUGUCCUCACCAGGAAUUGUGCAAGAUUGCACGCUUGCCUUUAAACGCGCCAAAUGCCAUUGAGUGGAGCGAGUUCUCCCCCAAUGUGUAGACGAGGAUCCAUUUUUUUUUCCUAAUGAACCAUUUUCUAGACUACAUAUGUGCUUCUCUGCAGUCCCCUACAUCUUUGCCAUUAGCCAUUACUGUUUCUAUAUAAAGCUUGGGUGAUAUGCCUGCAUUUUUAUGUUUCUAAGGAGAAUUCCUUAAAGCCUGUUUACAAACAGCUCAGACUGUCUUUCAGAAGUGUAGCUUGAAGAAUGGUUGAAAUGCACAGCAGAACUGAGGUGGUUGUUUCUAUACAUCCAGCAAUGGAAGCACAUCAGCUCACGUCCCUUUAGCUUCAGCAAUCCGGUGUCACUCCUGAAAACAAGCAAAACGGUUGCUUCUGCCAGCUUGUGACUCAAAACGCCCCUCUUCCCCAUCUGAAGCUGGGGCAUUCCAACAUGGCUAAGGAUGGGCCAUUCCCUUCUAGCGCCCACCCUCCCCCCUCCUCCACCAGCACCUUACCUCCAUUUCCAAGUCUCCGGUCCUGACCUGUAUCAGGCUAUGAAGUGAGCUCAGCCGUUGGGUUGUGUCUCCUCUGCUCACUCAGAGGGGCUGCACUGUCCACUGUAGAGCUUUCUCUGGGCACGCAUGUCCUGUCCAGUCGCCCUCCUAGAAAUGGGCACGCAGGAAGACUAGCGUGUGCCUGUGAUCAACAGUCUCAACAGGAUUACUCAUUCGACAGCGAAACUCCGCAGAAUGUGGGCGGAAUUGUAUAAAAACACAAUGAGCCAUUUAAUUUUGUUAAUUGUAGCAAUUAGGCUAGCUCGAACACAGGCUGCGCUCACAGCGGAAAGCCAAAAUGGAAGAAAUGGCAAACAGCCAUUUGCCCACAGAAAUGAGGGGUUCAGAAGCUCUCCCUUGAGUGUUUAAGGCAUCACGUUGUUUGAUCAUCCAUCUGUAGCUCUUUCUCUAGACUCCAUAAGAAAAGAAAUCAGACUUCUGUUAUAUCGCAUGCCAUGGUGGAAUUCAGAAAUGGAAAACUUUAGUCAACCUGUUGUGGCCUAUGUUCUGCUCCGUGAGGGAUGGUUGGAUGUCCCUGAAAUGUCCAAUUGUUUUUGCUAAAAUAUUUUACUCACACAAAUGGUAUCCUGACCAUAGUACGUCAGAAACACUUGGCAAACUCCAAUUUUUGCGUCGGUGAUUUUUGUUACCCUUAGAUUUUCUUGCAGCUCAGUUCCCCAUAUUGACGGUAACUUACCACGACGGGGACCUUACCGUGUACCCAGUGCUGUGCUAAAGAGCUUUACCUGUGCGAUUUCACUUAAUCCACCCAACUAUCUGUGAAUUAAGUACCAUUUACAGAUGACAAAACUUAAGCUCGGCGAUACUAAAAUUGCCAAAGGUCCCACAGCUAGGAAGCCGUGGAGCUGAGAAUUGAACACGACUCGUAACACUUUUUAACUACUGCAGAUUUUUUGAGAGGACCAAGGAACAUUUUCCCACCCAAAUCUACUUCUGAUUUGAAACAUCUUGGAACUUGUCAAGCUUUACCGAAGGUGAUUUGCGUUAAGUAAUGCAACAGACCCUUUAAUCUUGCAAACUCUUGACUUGUAAUGUUGUAGCCAAGCAAGGGGAAAUUAAUCAGUUAGUCGGAAAGAGCACUUCCUGCUGGGCCGUGCCCAGGCCUGAACAGAAAGACCUCUGUGAAAGUGGGAGCACUAAGGAAUUCGUGCUACCUGCUUCCUCAUCAUUCAUGCUAUGAAUAUUCAUCCGCUUCAUUUGUUUUUUCCGGGAAGCGCUGCUUUGAAACAAAGAAAGAAAUUAAGAAAGAUGGUAAAGGAAAAAAGUCAAUGGAUUCCUGGGGCUUGUGUAGCUCGGAGAAUAGGUACUGGGUCACAGAGACUCGUGUUCAAUGGAUACAAAUCUACAUGUGUUUGGAAUCGAAAAAAAAAAUGUCAUUGUCAUCUCUUUAAUGAUUGAUCUGAGUACAGUGGCCACCCUGCAUUUGUUGAGGCUACUGUUGUCAGCAGCGUGAAAACCAAUUUCUAAAAAUUGAACCUGUAAUUCAGUUUCGGAGGUAAAAAUCUGCACGGAUGGAACUAUUCAGUAAUUUGGUUCCUGCCUUCCCUGGGUGGUGACCUGGCAAGUUUCAGACCGAGGCGACUGUGUGGAAUUGGCUCUCCUGCUCCUUCUGAGACCCUGCAACGUCUCGGUUACAAGCUAGAAGAUCGUCAAUUUGAGAUUCUUGAUUGCCUAAGUGUUUGCUUCAAAGUAAACAGGUAAUCUCGCCGUUAAAAAAUCACGGUUCUUUCCCACUUGCUUCUCUGUUUUCCAAGAAAGGUUUGAGCUGUAACGGAAGAAUGAAUGUACCUCAGAUGGUAGUUCGAGAGGCUGCAAGAGUCGGGCAUCCGUCUGUUCUUAUAAAGUUUCUGUCUGACCUUUUGGAAGAGCAAUUUUAGGAAUGAACCCCAGAUGAAUGAGUGAAAGCCAUCAGAUUUAUCUGAUAAGCACCCUAACGGAAACAUUUUUAAAAAAAAGAAGCAAGGAUCCUUUUUCUUGUGUUUCAAGGAUGUUUCUCCUUCCUGAGCGAUCAUCUUGGUGAUUCUCUCCAAGAUGUAGCAAGAGCUACUGAACGAUAGUUUCAGUUAUGGGCUCCAGUAUCGUGCUGAACACGAUGACAAAAGUCAUUUUUGAGAACUAGCUCUUGGCUCAAGCACUGAUAUUUAAUGGCAAAAACUGGCCUACCACCGUGUGACUUAUUCUCAAUUGCAAGGCAGUGGAAACUAGUACGUGAAAGAAAAUGUUAAUUUCCUGAACUCCAAAGCCAAAAUGGGCAACAAAGCAACUCUGAAACCUACAAUGAGUUGGUUGACCGUGGGGAACCCGGGAGCAAUAAACAUUCCUCUUCAGCAAGGCUCAUGAGUGAGACUGGCUAUAAGCUGUGUUGGGACAGAAGGUGAUUGAAGAGGACGCCCACCAGUGGCUCAUGAGGAAUAUUUGCCUUUUUAGGGAGCAGAGGUUCAAGGUAGCCCCCUGCUAUUCCAUAACUAUGACGAUAGAUACACCCAUAUACGAAGGGCCAAGGCAGAAGACAGAGAAGAUGCCAGGGGCUUCAUGUCUGAGACUAACUCUGUCUCUAAGGGAACAGCUCUCCUUGGUCAUUGGCCCCUAUGCUGCUAACUAGCUCUGCAUGCCAAGAGCUUCUGAUGGAUUACAAGAUGAGAUAUUCAAAGGUAUUGUAAGUACUCUUGCUCGUAGAACACGAACCAUUGAAUUAUCCCUCAUUUCAACAGCAACGAGAUUCAGGGUUACUAUGGCCUUACUCAUCAUCCCAUUGUAAAUACGUCAUGACGUCACGAGAGCCUCCGUGUUCAAAUUCACUAAAACAGGUUUCCACGUUCCAAGUCUGUGUCUCUAUCCGCAAAUUGGAAACAUAACUUUGGGAGAAUGAUUUUCAGAAUAACGGAAAUGAAAAGAGAGUGGACAGUGAAGCAAUUUCUCACCAUACACGAAACCACUUAGAGUACUGAUAGCCCUAAAGCUCUGAUUUUUUUUUCUCAUGACUAAGUUUCCUUUAACUUAGGGGCUUUCGACAUCUGAAUUUUCCGGAUGAUUGCUGACUCAUCUUCACCAAACUGAAGCAGACACAACGGCAUUGUUAAAAAAUAAAGACUGCCCACAUGAAUGCCAAUAUCCCAAUGAAACGUGAAGAAGGAGGUCACUCAAGGAGUAAAUUUGGUCUUGGUGAGGUCAAACAUUUGGCUGCUUGGGAAAAUCCAGAUGUUUGAAUGAUACGGUUUUUCAUCUGGUCGUCUGGUGGUGUCUCGAUAGAAAAUGCUCAGGUGUUGUAGGUAAUGAAAUUUAACUUUCUUGUUGCAGUAAUCUGUUGCUGGUGAUAUUCUGCUGCUAACAAUCUCUUUGUUGUGCAAAGAGGAAUAAAUAAUGCAGAGCAAA